GACAGAGGCCUCAAGCGUUAGGCGGAAUCACUGGGCUUAAAGCGUGUGUAGGCGGAUCGUUAAGUGCCUUGUGAAAUCCCACGGCUUAACUGUGGAACGGCUGGGCAUACUGGCGGUCUUGAGCCAUCUAGGGGCGACUGGAACAAACGGUGGAGCGGUGAAAUGCGUAGAUAUCGCUUGGAACGCCAAAGGUGAAAACAGGUUGCUGGGAAUGUGCCGACGCUGAGACACGAAAGCCAGGGGAGCAAACGGG
rnacentral:rRNA from 1 species